GCCACGCAUCCAUCCAUUCGUCCUGCCUCCAAAUCCUACCCAUGUUUUCCCACAGAAUCUGGACUGCACUGAAACCUGGAAAACAACAGACGCUGUUGGAUCGGGAAAUAUCUGACGGCAAACAGCACCAGGAGAUUACCAGUGAGGGAGAUACUCUCACCAUCGUCUGUUUCAUAGAUGAGGACACUGCCAAGGAUUUGCGUGCAUCACACAGCUCACGGCUGUCAGAGCUGGAAGUGGAGUGCGUU
rnacentral:lncRNA from 1 species